AAACUAUGAAAGAAAGCUAGUGAUGUGUACGGUAUAGGGUUUCUGAAAGGUAAAGUACCUCAAAUUCUUGGCACAAGGCUGGCACCCAAAGAAAACAUAAAAUAAACAUAAAAUAUACCCUUCACCAGCUUGUUUCUCUCAGAAAAGCCUCUUCCAUGGGAUCAUCUCCCCACCAAUAACAUAGCUCAGCAUCCAAGAUAUCCGGAGGCCUUAUUUUCUCCUUACCACGGGUGCUGGGCCCCUCAGGAGAAGAGUGUUCAAAAGAGAA